rnacentral:rRNA from 1 species
GCACUUUGGGAUAAGCCUGGGAAACUGGGUCUAAUACCGAAUACGACCAUGGGAUGCAUGUUUCGUGGUGGAAAGCUUUUGCGGUGUGGGAUGGGCCCGCGGCCUAUCAGCUUGUUGGUGGGGUGAUGGCCUACCAAGGCGACGACGGGUAGCCGGCCUGAGAGGGUGUCCGACCACACUGGGACUGAGAUACGGCCCAGACUCCUACGGGAGGCAGCAGUGGGGAAUAUUGCACAAUGGGCGCAAGCCUGAUGCAGCGACGCCGCGUGGGGGAUGACGGCCUUCGGGUUGUAAACCCCUUUCAGCACAGACGAAGCGCAAGUGACGGUAUGUGCAGAAGAAGCACCGGCCAACUACGUGCCAGCAGCCGCGGUAAUACGUAGGGUGCGAGCGUUGUCCGGAAUUACUGGGCGUAAAGAGCUCGUAGGUGGUUUGUCGCGUUGUCCGUGAAAACUCACAGCUUAACUGUGGGCGUGCGGGCGAUACGGGCAGACUGGAGUACUGCAGGGGAGACUGGAAUUCCUGGUGUAGCGGUGGAAUGCGCAGAUAUCAGGAGGAACACCGGUGGCGAAGGCGGGUCUCUGGGCAGUAACUGACGCUGAGGAGCGAAAGCGUGGGGAGCGAACAGGAUUAGAUACCCUGGUAGUCCACGCCGUAAACGGUGGGUACUAGGUGUGGGUUUCCUU